CCCAGUGGUGUUGCCUCUGACACCGGACCGUAGUACGGUUUGUGUGAGUGAGUGAACUGGUCCUGUGCGCGAGGGGCAAGUGACAAGUGAGCGAGGGGAGACGCUGCUACGACGACAGAGGGAGGAGAGAGAGAGAGAGAGAGAGAGAGAGAGAGAGAGAUGUCCACUUAACUGCACAGUUUCCAAGAUUUAACGGACAACACAUCAUACCCCACUCUCCACUACUCUACACAGCUGCAUGCCCGUAUUAGAGCCAGUGCCUACUGCCAACCAUACAGAAAGCAAAGCUGGCCCUGGGAAAGAGACAUGAGGCCACAACCCAACAAAGAGAGAGAAAAGAACAACUGCAGAGGUGUGAG